GGUGUGUCAAUAGAAAAGUUCCGUCCAAAUGGAAAAUCUGUUAAGAUUUAAAUUUAACUGUGAUUAAAACCACUAUUUGUGUGUGUGUGUCGCCGUCAGCUCCCUGUUGGAUUAUAACAUCUCUAGGUGUCCAGCAGGUUGUAUUAUCCAUUUAAUAUUUCAAUUGCUUAAUAAAUAUUUAUUUAUAUCGUUGUUAA